GACGAACGCUGGCGGCGUGCUUAACACAUGCAAGUCGAACGGAAAGGCCCUGCUUUUGUGGGGUGCUCGAGUGGCGAACGGGUGAGUAACACGUGAGUAACCUGCCCUGUACUUUGGGAUAACUUCAGGAAACUGGUGCUACUACCGGAUAGGAGCUCCUGCUGCAUGGUGGGGGUUGGAAAGUUUCGGCGGUUGUGGAUGGACUCGCGGCUUAUGAGCUUGUUGGUGGGGUAGUUGCUUACCAAGGCUUUGACGGGUAGCCGGCAUGAGAGGGUGAACGGCCACAUUGGGACUGAGAUACGGCCCAGACUCCUACGGGAGGCAGCAGUGGGGAACAUUGCCCAAUGGGCGGAAGCCUGAUGCAGAAACGCCGCGUGCGGGAUGACGGCCUUCGGGUUGUAAACCGCUUUCGCCUGUGACGAAGCGUGAGUGACGGUAAUGGGUAAAGAAGCACCGGCUAACUACGUG
rnacentral:rRNA from 1 species